AGCUAUUUGCAGUGGUAGUAUCAUAGCCAAUGAGGUUUAUCUGAGGUGUGAUUAUUGCUAAUCACAAUGAUAGCAAUGAUGAAUGAUACCCUUUAUUUUUUAAGAUAACUCCAGGAGUUGUAAUGGAUAAAUCC